rnacentral:lncRNA from 1 species
AGUUCGUCAAUGACAGCGAUGAACUCGUCGAAAGGGCGAGAGGUAAGAAAAAGAGCAGAGGUGGGAGAAGUAGAGUGAAUGAAGAGAGGAAGGUAUAGUUGCGCUUGGAUAAGAAAAUAAAGUGGUGAAUCAUUCAUCGUCUUAUCAUUCGUCAUCUUUCUGAAGAUGCUCAACGAAUUACUAAUUUCCUAUGCUAUAUUCAUAUGAUACGAAUACCAUUUGAAAACAGUAAAUCGCUCAUCAUCUUCAGAACGGCGAUGAAUAAUUCAUCAUCUUAAUGAGAAUCUUUGAAGAUAGUAAAUUAUUCAUUGAUGUCAUUAAAGAAGAUAAACGAUUCGCUGUCUU